UACGUAGGGAGCAAGCGUUGUCCGGAAUCAUUGGGCGUAAAGCGCGCGUAGGCGGCCUCAUAAGUCCGUUGUGAAAGUCAAAGGCUCAACCUUUGAACGCCGAUGGAUACUGCCGGGCUAGAGUCCGGAAGAGGCGAGUGGAAUUCCUGGUGUAGCGGUGGAAUGCGCAGAUAUCAGGAGGAACACCAAUAGCGAAGGCAGCUCGCUGGGACGGUACUGACGCUGAGGCGCGAAAGCGUGGGGAGCGAACAGG
rnacentral:rRNA from 1 species